GUAGGCAUUGACAUUUUCUUUUGAUUUGUGACUUGAAAUAUUUCCUUAUGUCAUGAGGUUCACCUGAGUGUAUAUAUAUAUAUAUAUGCGCAUAUAUUUGGCUCUUAGUAAAGGUUACCGCUGAGGGAACAGACAAAGUGAGUGAGUUAUGUGUCUCUCACCCCUCACCGGCGUGACCAUAUAAGGACGGGUUUCCUCUUCCCCUCGGCCUGGAAAGCACACCAGUGGGGUCAAUAGAAAUGAAUAUCAGCCGUCUUGUUCGCUCUCUCUCUGUCAUGGAUCACGCUCUGCUGAACAUAUACAAUUAUAAAAGAGAGGAAUGUGAAGUGGAGCAAAUAAUGAGCUGAGACUUUGUAUAUCACAGCUUUUGUAAUAAACAGGGCUUUUUAAAGGCGGUUCGACCAAAAAGAACAUUGUUUCAGUUAGCAUUUAGUCUCAUGAUUUCCCAAACAAGUAUAUUUUUCCACGAAGCACAAAAUGAGAAUUGUUGAAGAAUCUUUGCAACAUAGUGACUGAUCAUAAUGACCAUGUCCAUUAAAAAUAACACCAUCAUUAUUCACUGAAAAUGAUGCCAGUUUACACAACUUUUAAAUAUAUUUGAUCUAACUUAAUUUCAUGAAGUUCAAUUUUUUUUUAUGGUUGUAGUUUUAUAAUAACCCAGACAUGCCCGCACAUACACGCUCAGUACGGGACACCCAGAUGAGUUCCAGCAUGUCUCCUGUUGCUCCUGCUGGAGAAAUUAACAUGCAGAGCAGGCCAAAACUCAGCAGGACUCACAAACACACUUGAAAGGAGUCGAGAGAGGGACGUGGGGUUGGGGGAUAGCACUGAGGGCCGAAGAGAGUCCUGGAGAGAAAAUCAAUGCGAAGUUGCAAGCCAAAAAGAGUGAAGCAGGAGGUUGGGAGGCCGGCAGAUGGGUGAGGGGGGUGUACAGAGGGAGGGGCUUUAGUGGAAAGAAAAAAGGAAAGUUAAGAGGAAGAAUGCAUUAGACUGAGAGAAAAUAAACCAGACGUCUGCUGGAGAGAAGAUCUCAUUCAAGACGUGAGCAGAAACCAUCCAGACUGCUGUCAAACAGGUCUCAGUGGAAUCAGACUGGAGUGUGAGACUGGAGCAGGGGUCAGGAGUUCUGGAGGUCUGCUCUUUCCCAAUGGAUUCAGAUUCUUUUAAUAGUAUAUAGUGGAGAGAGAGUUGGAGACUGAAUGUCGAGGGUCUUCAGGAAGCAGUGGGUGGAGGAAUAAGACAAGUGUUUGCUUUUUCAAAUGAAAACCAGUCUGGCUGUUGUGUUAGUAUUUUGACUGUAAUGUAAGUGAGUGAAUUCAGUACAAUCAAAUAUCUGUCUGUUCAUCUGAGAAUGUGUUCACAGCCCUUCUUUCAACUUUACCAUAGAAACCAGAAAUGUUUUCUGAGUCGAUCCGUUUGAACCUGGGCAAGUCAUCACAAGAGCUGUGCAUGUACCAGUAUGUUUUGAGUCAAAAAAAAAAAGAAAUGCACAAAUAAACUGCUAGUUACAAGUUUGAAAGAAUUUGAUCAAAACACAGCAAUUGUUUUUAUAUCAUUAAAAUAAAAAAACUGUUUUCUA